UAUGACAUAGCGUUAAUGUAACAGAUCCCAUUAGAACUCCAUAGUUAAGCGCAUUCAGGCUAGAGUAGUAAUGGGAUGGGUGACCUCCUCAGAAGUCCUAGUGUUUUAC
rnacentral:rRNA from 1 species